GCCAGCAUGGCAUAGUGGUUUGCCUGUUGGACUGCAAAUCUGGAGUCCUAGGUUCAAUUCCCUGCUCAGCCC